UUUCAAUCUCUAAUCAUUUCUAUUUCGAUUUCACUGCAGAGGGAUUGGUUGAUCACCUUUGGAUUGAGAAAUAUUUUAGCUUUUGUUUCCCUGUUACCCGAAGAAUUUCAUUCAUAGAAUUGGGGAUUUUGGUUCUCCUCUUCUUGUCUUCAGAUAUGAUCCUUUUAUGUUUGUGUUGUCCAUGUAUUUAUCUAUGAACCCUUUCCCUAUUUUCCCUCGGUUUAUGCAUUUCAUGAUUUCGAUUUCGAUUUUGGUCUUAGUAGGUUAGAUCCAAUAAUUUUUUCUGCAAGACGUGGUAUUCUGAGGAAGGAGUAUUGUUCUGAUUGCAUAUCUCUUGGUCUAAUUUUUCUAACCAUAUGUCAGAAACUUCCUGAAUUUUAUGUUAUCAUAUGGAAAAAUCGUACACAAAAGAUAAAACCAUAGGAAUGGAAAUAAACCUAGGUCAAGAAUUUAAUCAUGAAGAAUUGGAAAAAAACCCUCGAACUGGAGUUGAAAAGAGAGUGAUGUUUGGCGACCUAAUGGAAUGAAUGACAGGGAAAAUAGAGAAAUUCGGCGGAUGAGUUCGGGAAAUUUAUUGUCAUUUGAGAAGUUAGAUAAGAUAAAUAGCUUGACUGAGUUGAAUUCUUAUUUCCUUACCUUAAAACUCUGAAUUUUGUGGUGCCACACUUUUACAAGCUGUUUCUGAUACUUUUAAGGAUGAAGGGAUUUGGUUAUUUCUUUGAGUGUGUGGUGACAGAGUUUUUCUAAUUCCUCCACUCUGUUUCUAUUUCUACAAUGUGUUUAUCAUCUCUAUGUUUUUGGUAGCAUAAAAAGGCAAGGAUAAUGGCUCUUCACUUAAAAGUUCGUAAUGGAAGACAAGUAUGAGUGCUUGUGAAGAUUUGAUGAAUAAACAGAUGUAUUUUCUUUUAAACCUGUUUUGUUUGCUUUGUUUUUGUCUGGCUCUUCGGUGUUAGUGAUCAAUGUUAGGUCCAUGUUAUAAAGCAAAUUGUAGAAGUAUUCAUGCCUUUGUUUUGUUAACCACUACAUCAUUGCGACGAACAUCUUGUUAAAUUUUGUGAAAGUACCAUAAUUUCAAGUCUUAUAGAGAGAAGAUAUUAUGAAUUUUAAAUCUUAUCAAGCUUCAUAACUUUGUUUUUUGUAAUCCUGUGUACUGAAUCAAUGAUCUAAAUAAUGUAUUAUAUUUUCAUGGUUUAGCCGUUUUUAUGCACUUUUUUCAAAUGCUGGUUAACAAAUUGAUGUUUUAUGGAGUCUCAAUUCUCAUGAACCCGUAAAAAUGUGUCUGUGACCUAAGGAAGUUAUCAGGAAGAGUUUAAUGCUAUCAAUAUCAACUCGUGCUUUGGAUCCCUUUUGGUUGUCUGUUGAGCAGGAUUCUCUAGAUCUGUACAUUUCUUAGAUUGACUAGGCCUUGGAAUUCCUUUUGGUUGCUUCUUACUGGUGAACUUUCUCAUAUAAAUCAUUGGGGGACGUUCAUGUUUCCGAAGCAUAAAUUGAUUCUAAAUUUGCCGGUAUUAAACAGCUCUGUGUAAUUUCCUAUUGCACUCUGCUACCUGUCUCCUGGUACACCUGUUUUACAUCUUUGUCGCGU